CCUACGGGAGACAGCAGUGGGGAAUAUUGGGCAAUGGGCGCAAGCCUGACCCAGCAACGCCGCGUGAAGGAAGAAGGCCCUCGGGUUGUAAACUUCUUUUAACAGGGACGAAGAAAGUGACGGUACCUGUUGAAUAAGCCACGGCUAACUACGUGCCAGCAGCCGCGGCAAUACGGAGGUGGCAAGCGUUAUCCGGAUUUACUGGGUGUAAAGGGCGUGUAGGCGGGAGAGCAAGUCAGACGUGAAAUUCCAGGGGUCAACCCUGGAACUGCGUUUGAAACUGGUCUUCUUGAGUGAUGGAGAGGCAGGCGGAAUGCGGGGUGUAGCGGUGAAAUGCGUAGAUAUACGGAGGAACACCAGUGGCGAAGGCGGCAUGCUGGACAUUAACUGACGCUGAGGCGCGAAAGCGUGGGGAGCAAACAGGAUUAGAUACCCGAGUAGUC
rnacentral:rRNA from 1 species